AUGAAUGAAGAAAAGGUGGCCAGAUUUCAGGCUCAGAUCCAGAAUGGUGAUAAGGGUACCUUCCCUUACAGAAAGAAGAUAACAUAUAGAAUAGCAACAGCUGAUGUCAAAAAGCCUCUUUUCUUUUUUAAAAUAGCGGUGAGUAACUAUUACUGGAAUGGAAUAGAUAAACCUAAAUAGAGGUAAAGGGGUAAUCCCAGGACUCAGGCUUGCCUCUCUUAUAGCAUUAUAAUUACUCAUCAUGCAAAAGCCAAAACAGUGUCAGCAAUGCUCCCUGGAAUAUUAAGGUAGCUGGGCACUGACAAUGUUACAAGUUCUAGGAAGUUAGCCAAAUAGUCUUUCUCGUAGCAAGUAUUGAAUAGCAAAACAUGAAAAGUAGGAGACUAG
rnacentral:lncRNA from 1 species